rnacentral:hammerhead_ribozyme from 1 species
GCCUAUUUGGAAACCGUCCAUGACGGCUAGUCAUGCUGAUGAGCCUUGGCAAGGCGAAACGGUUUAACACGGUA